CCCAGUUAGACGCGGGAGCGGCGAGAGACGCGCGGGUGAAAGCCUGCUGCGCCCCCGCUCCCCCAAAGCCCCCCAGAGACCCUCCAGCAGCCGUGGAGCCACCCGCCGACCCCCAGCACAACUGGAAGUUGGCAGACCUCCUACAUAGAGGUUUAAACUAGCUUCGUCAGAGGACAGGGAUGUCAAAGACAGGAUGAAACCAGGAAUGACAAACCACACACUGGAAUAGACCAGGACAAACACAGGCACAACUAGUCAUGGGAUAAAUGUAACGGACACCAUCUGUUGGUCCCAUGACAUUUACGUCAAGCACAUCAUGGGCCAUCACCAAUGCACUGACCCCACCAGAUCGACUGCCACUGGACCAGACCCAGAGGGGACCACCUGAAUCCCCCUCUGCACCUGAUGGACUCCAAGACGAAUCUUUCAAUGAUGGACCACUCCACUCCACUCGAAGAUGACCUCCACUACAAGACUCUAUAGACUGAGUAAAUUCUUCAACCUACCCCCUCCACCAUUGCAGACCAUUGUAUGGGUUUGUGUACAUCUAUCCUCUUUCUCUCUCAGGGUCAUGAUCCCCCUCCCUCCCCUUUCCCCAUCCCCUCCCCCUCCCCCUGUGCUUAGUUGGCUAAAAUUGUAUUUUCUGUAACCUAGUUGUGUUCCCCUUCUCACCCCCAUCCCUCUUAUGUUAGUCCCCUGCUCAGGCACUCUGUAUUUCCCUUAUGGCUUUGCCAUCUUUGGUUCAUGACUCUUUAGUGGAGGUACUAAAUGUAAUGUAAUUUAGUACUGGAGGUACUAAAUGUAAUGCACAUUAGAAAAAAACUUUGAAAUGCUCAUGUAGACAUGCCCUCUCUCUUAUUUCCUUGACCAUCACAGCUACAUCAUCACUUCAACACUCUCACACUCAUGACCAGUUGGUAUACAUUUAAUCCUGUGCCAGUAUCAUUCUUUGAUUUAAAUAGCUUUUUACCCUCCCUAAUAUGCUUAAAAUGAGUAAUCAUAUCAUCUUUCAGCCUUCAUUUCACUGAGCUGAGCAAGCCAAGCUCUGUUAAUUUUGUUUCCAGUGCCCUAAUCAUGCUAAGUGUCCUUCUCUGUAGCUAUUCCAGUCAUCUGAACGUAGGCAACCACAACUGUACACAAAAUUCAAACUCUGCAGAAGCAGUGUUCACUUAUGAAAGAAAAAAAUAAAACUGGGAAUUAAAAUA